rnacentral:rRNA from 1 species
AGCAGCCGCGGUAAUUCCAGCUCCAAUAGCGUAUAUUAAAGUUGUUGCAGUUAAAAAGCUCGUAGUUGAAUUUCGGGAUCAAUAUGUUGGUCGUGCCUCGGUACGUACUAGCUUAUUGGUUUCUCCUUUCUGAAGAACCAUGAUGUCAUUCAUUUGGUGUCGUGGGGAAUCAGGACUGUUACUUUGAAAAAUUAGAGUGUUUAAAGCAGGCUCACGCUUGAAUACAUUAGCAUGGAAUAAUGAAAUAGGACGUUUGAUUCUAUUUUGUUGGUUUCUAGGAUCGACGUAAUGAUUAAUAAGGAUAGUUGGGGGCAUUAGUAUUCAAUUGUCAGAGGUGAAAUUCUUGGAUUUAUUGAAGACUAACUACUGCGAAAGCAUUUGCCAAGGAUGUUUUCAUUAAUCAAGAACGAAAGUUAGGGGGAUCGAAGACGAUC